CAAAAAGUGUAUCAAUAACCUAUAUAGGGAUGUUUUUUAUAACGAAUGUAAAGUUUCGUUGUUAAAAUUAACUGCUGAAGACAUUGCAAAAUAUAAAUUAACAAAAAUGCACAAGCCUACCAAAAAGUGUGUCAAUAACUUGUAUAAGAAUGUUUUUUACUCGGUUUUUUAUGACGAAUGUAAAGUUUCGGUCUUAAAAUUAACUGCAGAAGACAUAGCAAAAUAUAAAUUAGCGCAAUGAAAAAUAAGGAAACACCAAAGAAGAUGACGAGUUAAAGAGCCAUUAGGUCUAAGGAGGGCCGUAGUAAAUGGACAUCCAGAAAGUAUAAAAGGUAGAUUUUCUUGGAAAUAAAUUGCUGAAUAGCAUGUACCCUAUAUCAUAGGAGUAAUUAAUGGAGAACAUUUAGAGUUUGUAUCCGUAUGUAUGGCUGAAACUCAGCUACUCAGCAACUAUUUACAUGUAGAUAUUUAUACAUGCACAUCAGUAAGAAGUCAUUU